GACCCAUAUUUUUUAGACCAUAUUUUUUUUUCUUGUAAACGUAUAACUUGUCGAGAUAGACGGUGUGGAUUUACGGUGCGGCGUGUUCGUGAAAGGAUAUAAGGGUAAAUGUGAGAGAGGUGUACGUGUGAGUGUGUGGUGUGAGAAGUAGGGUAUAAUUUUUCCUUGGUCUUCUAAUAAAUUCCAGAGGAAUGCUUUCCUCUUUCUCAUUUUCUAUCUCUCGGCUCUCUCUCUAACUCUCACAUAUCUCCCUCUCUCUCGGCUUUCCUCCACUCUCACUCAAGAACCCAUCAAAACAACAUGAAACAUACACAAACCCAUCUACAUUUUACCUUCUAUACGCAUUAUUGAGCCUUAAUUUCGUGGGUCGAGCUUGGGGAAGGAGGAACCGGCUGAUUUUGAAGUUUUGGAGGCUAGGGCUUUGUUUGAUCUCGGCUUUGAUAUUUGAGGUACAAAUCAGAUGCUGUGACAUGGGUUGCUGUGCUUGCAUGUGAUCCCACAUUUUGAAAGUGACUUCAGAGAGUUAAUCUUGCAUCUCUUAUAAACUUUAUCUUCAGAUGAAGGAAUUGUAAUCUUAUUGUUAUUAUUAUUUUAUUAAAUGAAGGAUUCAUGUAAACUCUUAACUUUCUUUUAACGUGAUCUAGUGGUUUUAGGCCGUUGGGUCAAGGAUGUAAGUUUGGAAAUGAUUUGCGAACAAGGGAAAUAGAAAUGGCUUUUGGGUAA